UACGUAGGGGGCAAGCGUUGUCCGGAUUUAUUGGGCGUAAAGAGCGUGUAGGCGGCCAAACAGGUCAGCUGUGAAAACUCGAGGCUCAACCUCGAGACGUCGGUUGAAACCGUUUGGCUAGAGUCCGGAAGAGGAGAGUGGAAUUCCCGGUGUAGCGGUGAAAUGCGCAGAGUAUCGGGAAGAACACCCGUGGCGAAGGCGGCUCUCUGGGACGGUACUGACGCUGAGACGCGAAAGCGUGGGGAGCGAACAGG
rnacentral:rRNA from 1 species